GGAUGGCGGUACUGCACCCUGACACACACUUACACACUCUGGCUACUGCACAUGCGCAGAUCUCAUAAAUGAAUCCGACUUUAAUCAACUUAAUUAAGAUCUAUCAUCAAAUUAAUCGAAUUUUCGGAGGCCGGGGUGGAGUGCAUGAGCCGCGGUCAGACAGUCACCAAUCACCGUGCGGCUAAAUGGAUCGACGGAGGAUAAAACCAUUAAAAGAUGCGGAGAAACACAUCACCAGCUCCACCGACAAGACCCAUUCACUGGAAACCGAAUAUAUAGAAGGUUACUAAGUUUUGCAGCAUUGAUGCCGAUCAUGAGGACGAUCUGCACCCUAACUGCACUGUCAAUAAGAUCGUUGUUCAGAGAAAACCUCAUUUGUGCCUUUUUGCAAUCAGGGAUAUUUUCUUUGGAGAGGAAAUAACGUUUGACUAUGGCGCAUGUGAUUGGCCUUGGAGAAAGCUUUCAUUGAAGGAUGCCCAUAUGACUGCAGAAGAGAACUGCUUCGACAACUCUCUGAUGAGCUUUUAUUGAAGUAUGACCAAAUGACGAGAAGAAGAGAACUGCUCUGCUCCAGUAGGAAACCCACAACCCUCUGAUGAGCUUUUAUUGAAGGAUGACCUUAUGACAGAGGAAGAGAACUGCUCUGCUCCAGUACAAGACUCACAACUCUGAUGAGGUUUGCUGAAGGAUGACCAUAUGACAGAAGGAGAGAACAGCUCUGCUCCAGUACGAGACCCACAACUCUCUUAUGAGCUUUUAUUGAAGGAUGACCAUAUGACAGAGGAAGAGAACUGCUCUGCUCCAGUACGUGACCCACAACUCUGAUGAGCUUAUAUUGAAGGAUGACCUUAUGACAGAGGAAGAGAACUGCUCUGCUCCAGUACGUGACCCACAACUCUC
ensembl:processed_transcript